AUGGCCUGAAAAUCACGUUGUUUCGUAGCUCAGAAAGUGACAUGAUUCGGCCGACGAAAGCUAGCCCAGCAAAGACAUUAUUCUGAGAUGGUUUCCAUAGGCUUCACCGGACUGUCAAAGGAGCCCAUGGCAUAAAAAAGGUUAAGAGCACCUGCCUUAGAAGGAGUGUAGGAAGUCAUCCUCUGCCUCAAGAAAAGAAGAAUGUACCAUUGAACCAAUAAUGUUGCUGAACUUCAAGAUGCUGCCUGACUUGCAAGUUCCUCCUGCAUUUUGUGCAUCCCAACAUCAUCUGUGGCCUCAAACAGAUCAAGGACAUCAAAAGAGCCAAGCACUACAAGAAGAAAUCAACUAAAAGAAAUUUCAAUGAUCAAACAAACAGGAUAAUAAGUGGCUUACGGAUUUGCAUUCAGCUUGAAGCCUUGCUAUUAAUAGUCUGUAAAGAGUUGAAAGUAUUUGAAAUUAUUAAAAGACCAUGAAAAUUAAUUUUUUCUAUUCUACAGAAUUGUAUUAUGUGGUAAAUAAGUAUUCUUUAUGCUUGCAAUACUACGAACAGAGUGGAAAAUUAGGCUGAUGUCAGCAAACCAAUGAAGCGCUGAUAAAUAGCAUUGAACUUCAGAGGAACUUUUAUUCAAUUUAUAAAGUCAUAGAGCUGUACAGACAGAAAUGGGCCCUUCAUCCCACCACAUCAAUGUUGGACUUUUUGUUUAUUUACACUAAUCCCGUUGCCUGGCCUAUUAAAAUAGCAGUCUAAAAUGCUCUUAAACAUAGUGAUUGUAUCUAAUUACUUUCUCUGGCAGUUAUAUCCAGAUAUCAGCCACUCCUUGUGUAAAAAAAACCUUCCUCUCAAAAAUGUUAAAAAAAUUCUUCCUUUCAUCUUAAAUCUCUUGUUUUACAUAUCCUACACGUAGAAAUGUAUGUAACUCCUAUUCUUUAGGAUUUUCUCCACUAAUGUCCCUAUAACUGAUGUAAGACAACAAACUUGUAGUUACCUGGCUUUUUCCUGCUGCUCUGCUUAAACAAAAGAACAAUAUUAGCUAUGCUCCAAUCCUCUGGGACCUCACCAAUGGCUCAAGAAGAUGCAAGAUCCAUUAGGCUAUCUCAUCACUUGCUUCCUCUAACAACCCAUAGAUCUUACCCAGCCUUAGGGAUUUAUUAACCUUGAUGCAUCCCACAGCAUAUACGAACUCCUCUUUCUUAGCAUUAGGCUGCUGCAGAUUAUUCACGUAUCCUUCCUGAACUCACUUUCUCUUAGGCCCUUCUCCAUGGUAAACACUAAUGAGAAAUAGUUAAUUUAGACCUUGUUCACAACUCAUGCUCCCCACUGGAAAUCAAAAGGGAAAACUUAACGGGACAUAUUCUUUCCCUGGCUAGCCCCUUCCUCCUGAUAUUCUCAAUUAGUGCCUUGGGAUGCCCUUUUAUGAAAGAGAACAAAAUCACACCAUGAAUAUUUAUAGUAAAGCAACAGAGUGACGCCCCAGGCAAAAAUCAAAACCACUCUGGUCAAAUGAAUGACUUGUUUCUGAUGGUUUACAUCAUGUCACGUACUUUCUAAUUUACAAGUUAUAGAACUUAAUCAAGAAUCUCAUUAGACUGUUAGUAAAAUAGCAAUUACCUACAUAUGUUGGGUUCUACACAGAGAAGCUAGUUCAAAAUCUUUAUACCAAAUACUGUAUGUGGGAAAUAUGUUGCAUAUCAUUCAACUGAAGUGGAGGGAACAAUAUUUUGAACCAGGUCAUUUAGUAUAUACAGUAUGUCAGGCUGUACAGACAGGUUCCUCCCAGUCUCCACCCAGCUCACAGGGAUCACCUGCCAGUCGUUUCCAACCAAUCACCUGCAGCCUAUUUAAACCCAGUAUUCAUCCACAGACCUUGUUCACUCAUCAUACCAGAGAACCUCAAUCACGUGCUCCUAGAGUUUAGUCACCCUGUUAUCUUGCAUGUUAAGAAUCUGUUGUUUUGUGGACUCCUUGUGGCUUGUAAUUUUGUAAUUUAUUCUUAAAAUUAUCGCUCACCACUUCACUGUCUCAGCUGCCUUGUGUUUGGGUCAAGCCUCCUCUACAUUUUUAGACCGGGUGAGCGAACCAACCAUGACCCUGCUGAGGAUGCUCACCUAAAGGA